CCCUAAUAGCAAGACAAAGUAGCCAUUGUUAAUUCCUUCUACCGAAGGUCCCUCCAUUUCUUUGAGUACUUAAUUAACAGAGUAUAAAUUAAACAAAGAACUAUGCUUUCAACCGUAUUAUUAGAUAUUGCAAUGAAUGAAUAAAUAAAAUAUUGCAUCUAUCAUACUUAAUGUGUUAUAAGUUGAAAGAAUAAUAAAUGAAUCAUCCUUUUUUUUAAAAUCAUGAUAGAAAAAAAAUAUGAUGUCAUAUAUAUCAAGCUUGCAAUAUUCCAUUAGUUUGCAUGGCUUCUCGGCG
rnacentral:lncRNA from 1 species